rnacentral:rRNA from 1 species
UACAGAGGUCCCAAGUGUUGUUCGGAUUCACUGGGCGUAAAGGGUGCGUAGGUGGUGAGGUAAGUCGGAUGUGAAAGCUCGGAGCUCAACUCCGAAAUGGCAUUGGAAACUACCUUGCUCGAGGGUUGGAGGGGGGACUGGAAUACUUGGUGUAGCAGUGAAAUGCGUAGAUAUCAAGUGGAACACCAGUGGCGAAGGCGAGUCCCUGGACAAUUCCUGACACUGAGGCACGAAAGCUAGGGGAGCAAACAGG